rnacentral:lncRNA from 1 species
AGUCAAGCUAAUGCAAUGUUGUGCCCGGUUUACAUUAAACUGCUGUAUGCUUUACAGCUGAAUCCCCCAAAUUCUUCAUCAAACGCAAACCAAGUUCAACAAUAUCAAUUGUCCCCAGGAGAACAUCCGAGAAUUCAGGUACUUGUUCUGGAUACUUGAUCACAAACAUGUCCAAGAAUUUUUCUUCAGAAUAUCCAAGAAUAGAAGCUAAACUGAUUUCUGCUCUGAUCAAACCCUUUAGAAUCAAAACUCUUAAAACUGAACACCUUGGAACAACCCUCUUCUCGAAACUAUAACAUAAAACAACUGGAUAUUUUGCAAUAAUUGCAGGCUGCCAACCCAUUUUGUUCACAAGAAAAUCUAUCUUCUUUAUAAUUGUCUUCUCUGAGUAACCCAUACACAGUGGACGCUUUUUGAUGACAGACCAUAUUUCUUCUUCCGAAAAACCCAACCUACUGAAAGCAUCAAUUUUUUGUUUCCAUGUUUUGGAUUUCAUUUGCAUUAUCAUUCGAAGAGCAUUGGCAAAUGAAAUAUUCCGAGGAUCAAAUCCCAUACCUACAACAUUUUUAAUAGCUUCACUAAACCUUUCAGAAUUUGCGCAUACAGCGUUGGGGCAAUUGGUAAUCAAAAUAGAGAUGGUAGAUUGACGCAUUCCGAGCUCUCUUAAGACUGAUAAAUUAACAGGCAAGUGUUCCUUGACAUAGCACAUGUUGAAUGCUGAUAUGCGUUUCAAUAUAAUAAGGCCUCACUCAUCAGAAAAUAACAAACUUUUAAUAACAGCAUAAACUGGGAUCAAAAGAUUGUUCAAGCUGCCAGACAAGAAAACGGGGUUCUUAGAUAUCAUCACCGGAAGGUCAGAAACCCCAAUAGAACGUAAAAAUUGAAUCUUUGGUAAUAUUGUCUUCACGGGAUCGAAUAAAAUCAACUUGGGCUGUCCCCUAAUAACUUGAGAUAUCUGGUAUUUGGUGAGUCCAUAGUCUUUGAGAAGAUUAAUGACAGCAUCUGGUCUUUCGGAGUUUUCAAAAUUUACGUACUUUGAAACACGUUUAGCAGAUUGUGAGGAUAAGCCACAUGAGUUGAUGAGGUAUGACACUGUAAAAGAGUGUGUAUUAGAUUUAGAUGAAAAAUACCUGAUUGUAACCAGUGCUUUAAAAUGAAUAAUACCCAAUUGGGCACUGUUCGAGUCUAACAGCGCACGACUCCAAUCAUUUAACGCCAAUCUUCUAUUGGAGAAACGGAACAUCAUAUGAAAGGCCAACUCACCGAGUUUAGGAGGGGAAACAGCUGGAAUUGGACGUUUUGCUUUAUCUGCCUUGUAAAUCAGUGAGCUAUAAAAUCGAAAAUACGAUUUUUACCCAGAAAACCAUUCAGCAAUACGAAACUUUCUGAGAAUUUAACAUCAAAAGAGCCAUAAUAUUGCCUGCUCUGCCUCCAUUCCGGCAGUUCAAGAUAGGUCACGGUACUUAAGCGUUUUAGGGUUUUGCAGUUGCAAGAGCGAAGAGGAGAAAUCAAUUAUAUUUACUCAAACACGCUGCCGUUUUCAGUUAGCUGGUGCUUUUAGAGGCUGAGUCCAGCAUGGGUCAGCAUAAUACCAGGCCCAACUCGAACCGAAACUGCAUUUCUUUCCCUGAACUGAUUUCACCGUUGUUGUUGCUUUUCAUUUGUAAUAAAAUUAUUUGUAAUGGAAAACAGUUACAAAAUGAUAUAUAGGGAUAUGCAGUUGCAAAAGAGAGCGAGAGUGAAGAGGAGAAAUCAAUUUUCAAUGUAAUUUUACAUUUUUUAUCAUUUCGCAGUUGAUUGCCGUUGUCAUUGCAUUUGUCAUUACAUCUACAACUACUAAGGACGAAUUCCAAACCAUCACAUAUCAGCAAUAAUUCUAAAAACUGAAAAAAGAAAAGAAAAGAUAAGUUCAAAAUGAUUCUGUACAAAUUACAAUAAUCAUCUUUUCUUUUGUUUUGUUUUACUUUCUCCUUCAUCUGCAGCUAUUGCUCCCACUCGAGUCUGUCUUCACCUUGAUUGUUAGUAUACGUGAAUAGUAUCCGUGAAUAGUAUCAGUAUACAUAAAUAGUAUCAGUAUACGUAAAUAGUACUAAUAUAUUUGAAUAGUAUCAGUAUACGCCGACGCCAAUAGUACUGUUUACAACCAACUUUGAGUUACUGUUUUACUAUUCACUACUAAGCGAUUGUUUUACUAUUCACCACUAAGUCGAUUGUUUUACUAUUCACCACUAAGUCGAUCUACAACUUCUUUCCGAGCGUAUAGCACCGAUGAACUCAUCGUAAUUUUCUUAUCGUCGUGGUAUAUUUGUUUUCAAAAUAUAUCCACGGAUCUGGUCCCGCUAUCUGACCAGCUGGACCUGCCGAAACCUUCGGCUCUGAUACCAGUUGUUGAAAAAAAUUACGCAAAAUCCCCAAUAACUUAGAUUUAUGAGGGAGCAAAAGAAAAUAAUAACACACAAUUUGAUAAUGGAGUUCGGCCAAUCUUGCCUACUUCUCCGGACUGCCACAUAUCUUUUAUAGAGAAAAAUAAAUAAAGUAUUUACAUACACUCACAACCCGCUAUCCAAGAAUACCCGAAAAAUUAAACUUAAUUUUUCUUCUUGCAUAAUCUCUCUAUUUUUCUCUCUUACAGUUGCUCUCUCUCUCAAUUGCUAUCACUCUCUAUUUGUCUUGUGUAUUUAAAUGAACUUCGUCUGCCUCUUUUUAUAGGCAGUUGUAUACUUUGUCAAAAGAAAAUUGACAACUUUUCUUCUUUUCCAAAUAACACGUUUUCCUUUUUUUUUUUUUUUCUUUUUUUCUUUUGCACAUGUGGGUCCCAUUUAAGUGGGACCACCAAAACCAACUUUGACAAGGUCCACCUAGAAGGAAGCAAUAAUACAAGGCAAAAGAUUAUUGACAUAUGAUUUGUAUCCAGUUUCUACGAGUUAGGUUCUCCAUUCUCACCGCAACUUGCUGUUAAAUUUUUUGUCAAAAUCUUCACCUUGUGGCAGUUCUUUUUCAUGAAAUUUCAAUGUAACUUUACAUUUUUUAUCAUUUCGUAGUUGUUUGCAUUUGUCAUUACAUAUCUUCAACUACUAAUGACGAAUACCAACCAUCACAUAUCAGCAAUAAUUCCAUAAAUUGGAAAAAGAAAAGAAAAGUUUAAAAUAAUUCUAUACAAAUUGCAAUAAUCAUCUUUUCUUAUCAGCUCCAAAAUCUUUUCUUUUCUUUUGUUUCACUUUCUCCGACUUCAUGUUGAUAUUGAUUUCACUCUUCUUCAGUAAUUCCCUCAGGAUAAAUCUGCAGAAAGAUUGGAACAUGUAAAAAUGAAAUUGUCAGUAAAGAAUUAUAUAUAUAUAUAUAUAUAUAUAUAUAUAAAGGGAGAGCGAAAAAAGAAAAAUUAUCUUACCUGACUGCGAUUUUCUUCAUGGAAACUUACGGUUCUAACUUUGAACUCCCCUCUGCUAGUAGUUAGCUCAUCUAACAUUUCUGCGUAACACACUUGGACUUUCCCUUCCUAAUUUCCUAAACCAGUUGCUUCAUUUUCCUGAUAAUUAAAAAGAAAAUGCACAAAAUUAGUACUAAUCCAAAAAAAUGUAUGUAUAGACUAAAGAUUGAAUAAACAGAUGGACAUACUGUCAAAGAAAGGCUGAAAGAUAGUCGUGGAGCUCUGGUAAUUUCCUCAUAUUCAGCUACAUCUAGUUCUCUUAAAUGAUGAGGACUAAACAGUUUGUAGAGGCUGAGUGCAUGGGUAUACACCGGGCCCAACUCGAACCGACAAUGCUUCCCUCCUAACUUGUGAUUUUCCUCUCAAAAAUUAUGAGAUUAUUGCGAGUUCAAUAUUCCAACCUAAUUAAUUGGAAAAAGUUCCCAAAGAAAAGCAGUGGUUCUGUACAAAAUCCUCCCUUUGAUUAAGAAAAGCAACGCAAAACUAAUUACCAUACAUGUCUAUGGAUUGACAAUGUUUAAUUUCAAAUUACAUGGUCUUUGCUGUUCAUUUUUAGAUAAAAAUUUUUGGUGAACAAAAAGCAUUUACAGAAUACUACUAGUACAAGACACACGAAUCUUCUUAUUAACAAAUAAAUUGAUAGACUCACCUAUUACAAGUUAAUUAGAAAAAGUAACCUCAUUUCAGUCAAGCUAAUGCAAUGUUGUGUCCGGUUUACAUUAAACUGCUGUAUGCUUUACAGCUGAAUCCCCAAAAUUCUUCAUCAAACUCAAACCCAGUUCAACAAUAUCAAUUUUCCCCAGGAGAACAUCCGAGAAUUCAGGUACCUGUUCUCGAUGCUUGAUCACAAACAUGUCCAAGAAUUUUUCUUCAGAAUAUCCAAGAAUAGAAGUUAAACUGAUUUCUGCUCUGAUCAAACCCUUUAGAAUCAAAACUCUUAUAACUGAACACCUUGGAACAACCCUCUUCUCGAAACUAUAACUUAAAACAAUUGGAUGUUUUGCAACAAUUGCAGGCUGCCAACCCAUUUUGUUCACAAGAAAAUCUAUCUUCUUUAUAAUUGUCUUCUCUGAUAAACUCAUACACAGUGGACGCUUUUUGAUAACAGACCAUAUUUCUUCUUCCGAAAACCCCGACCUACUGUAAGCAUCAAUUUUUUGUUUCCAUGUUUUGGAAUUCAUUUGAAUUAUCAUUCGAAGAGCAUCGGCAAAUGAAAUAUUCAGAGGAUCAAAUCCCAUACCUACAACAUUUUUAAUAGCUUCACUAAACCUUUCAGAAUUUGUGCAUACAGCGUUGGGGGAAGUGGUAAUCAAAAUAGAGAUGGUAGAUUGGCGCAUUCCGAGCUCUCUUAAGACUGAUAAAUUAACAGGCAAGUGUUCCUUGACAUAGCACAUGUUGAAUGCUGAUAUGCGUUUCAAUAUAAUAAGCACUUUCUCAUCAGAAAAUACCAAACUUUUAAUAAAAUCAUAAAAUGGGAUCAAAAGAUUGUUCAAGCUGCCAGACAAGAAAACUGGGUUCUUAGAUAUCAUCACCGGAAGGUCUGAGCCAGAAACCCCAAUCGAACGUAAAAAUUGAAUCUUUGGUAAUAUUGUCUUCACGGGAUCGAAUAAAAUCAACUUGGGCUGUCCCCUAAUAACUUGAGAUAUCUGGUAUUUGGUGAGUCCAUAGUCUUUGAGAAGACUAAUGACAGAAUCUGGUCUUUCAGUGUUUUCAAAAUUUACGUACUUUGAAACAAGUUUAGCAGAUUGUGAGGAUAAGCCACAUGAGUUGAUGAGAUAGGACACUGUAAAAGAGUGUUGAUUAGAUUUAGAUGAGAAAUACCUGACCGUAAGCAGCUCUUUAAAAUGAAUAAUACCCAAUUGGGUACUGUUUGAGUCUAACAGAACAUGACUCCAAUCAUUUAACGCCAAUCUUCCACUGAAGAAACGGAACAUCGUAUGAAAGGCCAACUCACCGAGUUUAGGAGGGGAAACAGCUGGAAUUGGACGUUUUGCUUUAUCUGCCUUGUAAAUCAGUGAGCUAUAAAAUCGAAAAUACGAUUUUUACCCAGAAAACCAUUCAGCAAUACGAAACUUUCUGAGAAUUUAACAUCAAAAGAGCCAUAAUAUUGCCUGCUCUGCCUCCAUUCCGGCAGUUCAAGAUAGGUCACGGUACUUAAGCGUUUUAGGGUUUUGUGUUUUAGGGUUUUGCAGUUUCAAGAGGGAAGAGGAGAAAUCAAUUUUAUUUACUCAAACACGCUGCCGUUUUUACUUAGCUGGUGCUUUUAGAGGCUGAGUCCAGCAUGGGUCGGCAUAAUACCAGGCCCAACUCGAACCGAAACCGCGUUUCUUUCUCUGAACUGAUUUCACUGUUGUUAUUGCUGUUCAUUUUUAAUAAAAUUAUUGGCAAUGGAAAACAGUUACAAAAUGAUUUAUAGGGAUAUGCAGUUGCAAAAGAGAGCGAGAGGAAAGAGGAGAAAUCAAUUUUCAAUGUAAUUUUACAUUUUUUAUCAUUUCGUAGUUGCUUGCCUUUGUCAUUACAUCUACAACUACUAAUGAGGAAUACCAAACCGUCACAUAUCAGCAAUAAUUCUAAAAAUUGGAAAAGAAAAGAAAAGUUCAAAAUGGUUCUGUACAAAUUACAAUAUCAUCUUUUCUUAGCAGCUACAAAAUCUUUUCUGUUUUGUUUUACUCUUCUUCAGUAAUUCCCUCAGGAUAAAUCUGCAGUAAAGAAAUGAACAUGUAAAAAUGAAAAUAUCAGUAAAGAAUUAUAUAUACAUAUACAUAUAUAUACGAAGAAAGAGCGAAAAAAGAAAAAUUGUCUCACCUGACUGCGAUUUUCUUCAUGGAAGCUUACAGUUCUAACUUUGAACUCCCCUCUGCUAGUAGUUAGCUCAUCUAACAUUUCCGCAUCAAACACUUGGAUUUUCCCUUCCUCAUUUCCUAAACCAGUUGCUUCAUUUUCCUGAUAAUUAAAAGGAAAAUGCACAAAUUAGUACUAAUCCAAAAAAAUGUAUAUAUAGACUAAAGAUUGAAUAAACAAAGAUUGAAUAAACAGAUGGACAUACUCUCAAAGAAAGGCUGAAAGAUAAUCGUGGAGCUCUGGUAAUUUCCUCAUAUUCAGCUGCACCUAGUUCUCGUAAAUGAUGACUAAAUAGUUUAGGAAAUAUGUGCUGCUUAUCCAAAUCAGAAUAAAGAAGCGCAAUGGAAACAGAACUCCAGCUAUUGGAACCCAUGUAACACCAAAACAGACCAGGAAAUACACCAACUGUAUGAGUGUAAAAAUAGCAGUGUACUUGAAUGGAACUGAUUCAAGAAAUGAAGCAUGAACUCUUUCCAACACCCUGUCAAAAGAAAAUUAUCAGCAAACAUAUAUACUAACUUCAAGAAACCAUAUGCAAUAAAAUAUUUAACUAAAAAAACUUUACUUGUAGCGCCUUCCAGGCAUGACGAAAAGAAGUAGUAUUCUUUCCCAGAACUGAUUUCCAGGUAAACUGUCAAUAGCCAUGUACGCAAAGUAUCCCCAGAGAACUGAUGUAGGUAUUAGCUUUAUUGCAGGCAUAGCGCAUACUGAUCCUGCUACUAGAAGCGACUGCAAAAGAUUGCUCACUCUUUGUUCAUUAACUCUAACAGGCAAGUAAGCAUCAAUAUGCUUCUCAGGAUCAAUUGCAUAUUUGGGAUUUUCUUCCUUGUCUUCCCCUUUCCUCACUGCCUCCUUCAAGUCUUCCAGCUCUUUAGCUACUGCAAUCUGCAGUUAAACGCAGACUUUGAGUAUUAGCAAUUGUUUGAUACAUUGGGGACAUACUUGUGCAAUUCUACAUUUGGACUUACAGCUGGACUACUGUCCAUUUCUAUGAAUAAAGCUUGCAUCUUGCCAUAUAUUUCCGAGUUGCUAGCUUUCUGUUUGAUGCUUUCUUUAGCACUUUCAACCAUUUUCCUCCGAAUCAACUGCACAUUAUUAGACCGAUUAAAGAAGUACAGUUUAUGGACCUUACACUAUAAGAAAGUACUCCUUUGAGUAGUUAAAAGAAAAAAACUGGAUACUAAUAAGCAUUAGAAAAAACACACCAUAACCAAAAACCUUUCACUAACAUUUCAUAUGUUAUUAAUUAUUACUUCUAACAUGCAUCAAACUAUGUUAAAUCUUUUAUUUGUUGUGGUGUUACCUGUCUCUUUAGGACAGCAAGGCUCUUUGUGUGCAUCGGCGACUGGGGUAGAACUCCAUUUGUAGGAGGUAGUCCAAGCAAUCCACAAAGCAAAGUCUGGAAAACCAUUUAGAUAAUAAUUGAAUAUAGGGUUUUGGAAGAAAGCAUAGGAAAAUAGACGGUUUAAGGUAUUAUAUAGGCACGUACCAGAAAUCCUAGCAAUAAAAUGUCAUAAUGGUAUGCAGAAGGAUUUUUAAGAUUGAACUCCUUUUGUUGUGCAAGCUGCGAAGCUACACUGUGGUCGAAAAAGUAAAGUCCUGCUAUCAUCAGAGCAGGAAUAAAGGCUGCAAAGAUGUAUGCUGGAGGAACAUUUCCCAUAUCCUGAAGAUUGAAUAAACAGAUGGACAUACUCUCAAAGAAAGGCUGAAAGAUAGUCGUGGAGCUCUGGUAAUUUCCUCAUAUUCAGCUGCAUCUAGUUCUCGUAAAUGAUGAGGACUAAACAGUUUUUAGAGGCUGAGUCCAGCAUGGGUAUACCAGGCCCAACUCGAAGAACCAAAACUAAUGAUCAUAACAUGUCUGUGGAUUGACAAUGUUUAAUUUCAAAUAACAUGGCCUUUGCUGUUCAUUUUUAGAUAAAAAUUUUUGGUGACUAAAAAGCAUUUACAGAACGAGAAACUUAAGACAUAAAUAACAGCAAAAGCUUAGGGAGAACUUGAACAAGGAGAGGAUACUACUAGUACAAGACACACGAAUCUUCUUAUUAACAAAUAAAUUGAUAGACUCGCCUAUUACAAGUUAAUUAGAAAAAGUAACCUCAUUUCAGUCAAGCUAAUGCAAUAUUGUGUCCGGUUUACAUUAAACUUCUGUAUGCUUUACAGCUGAAUCCCCCAAAUUCUUCAUCAAACUCAAACCAAGUUCGACAAUAUCAAUUUUCCCCAGAAGAACAUCCGAGAAUUCAGGUACUUGUUCUUGAUACUUGAUCACAAACAUGUCCAAGAAUUUUUCUUCAGAAUAUCCAAGAAUAGAAGCUAAACUGAUUUCUGCUCUGAUCAAACCCUUCAGAAUCAAAACUCUUAAAACUGAACACCUUGGAACAACCCUCUUAUCGAAACUAUAACAUAAAACAACUGGAUAUUUUGCAACAAUUGCAGGCUGCCAACCCAUUUUGUUCACAAGAAAAUCUAUCUUCUUUAUAAUUGUCUUCUCUGAGUAACCCAUACACAGUGGACGCUUUUUGAUAACAGACCAUAUUUCUUCUUCCGAAAAACCCG